CAGCCUGACACCAUCAGACCAACUCUUAUUGAUAUGAUGAAGCAUUACUUGCAUACCUCACGGAAGGCGGACUGUCCUGUAACACCUUCACAACAAGGUAAGUCUUUGUAGUCUGUGUUUACAGACAUGAUUGUACAAAACACAGCCUGACACCAUCAGAUCAGUCCCUUAUUGAUAUGAUGCAGCAUUACUUGCAUACCUCACGGAAAGCGGACUGUCCUGUAACACCUUCACAGCAUGGUCAGUACAAAAACCUUUUCUGACAUCUUUUUGUAAAUCAAUGAGACAGUAGUUAACCAAAUAAAUGUUAAAAUUGCGUGAAUCAUUAAAGAAACACAUUAGGAUAAAAUACAACAAUUAAAAACAAUAUGAUUAAAAUCCUAAAGGAGUGGUUCUGUGUGCGUCCUAUGAAAAGCGUAUUUAGCAAUUCAUAAACCCCCCCGCAUGCAAAUCCACAUUCCAUUUAAAUUGUCAAAAUUAGAAAUAGGAAUCAAUACAUUUCUGAUCAGGUGACUAUGCUGGUAAGUGGAGAGGUAAGAUUGUGACAACAUUUAUCAAUUUUUCAAAUGAAUGAAUAUAACGAUAUUUUAUAAGUUUAUAUUAGUUUUUAAUACAAACACAUUUAUUCUAUCAAUGCAAAAGAGUAUUUGGGUGAUUAUUUAACUCCCACAUUAAAAGUCUCUUCGACGAUGUUUGCAUGAAAGAAUAUAUUUUUACGAUAGCCUAAUUAUAAACACGUUAGUGGCAAGGCGUUCGGUAUUUUCCUCAGCAUAUAAGAUGCACCAGACUGAUAUGUUUUGUCAUUCAUCUUUAUUAUGGGUUUAACUAUGAUGAGUUUUAUUCAUACAACAAAUUUAAAACAUUUAAUUUAUAUUUAAGAUAUUGGUGUUACAUAUGUCAGAUGGGGGAAGAAAACAUGCCCUGGAAGUACAGAUAUUGUGUAUGCAGGUAUUUAUAGUUCUGUUUAUUAUAAGUUUUUAUUAUUUAUAUUAUGAUUAUUACUAAUACUAAUACUAACAAAAUCAUAUUAUUAUUAUCAUUUUUCUUCUAAUAUAAUCUAAUUCCAUACAGUAGACUUGGUAUUACUUGAAAAAGUUUUUUUUGUACAAUUUGGUUUUAGAUUGUAGUUGAAUCUAAAGACAUGACAAGGCUAGUGUCUAGAUAACGUUGGAAAAAUAGAAAGAGACCAUUUUCAAAAUAAAACAUGUGCUAAUACAUGUGUAUCAAUCUAUAAUACAGAACCAAAGUCCAAUGUAUUAUCUUUAUUACUGGAAUAUCAAUACAUAAAUUUUAAAACAUUGCUUUGUGAUAUCUUUGUCAUUAUUAUGUAUAUGUAGAUAAUCUGAAGAAUGACAUUUGUUAUAAGAUAAUAACUAUAAACUUAUUCAGGACAGUCUGGAGGUAACUAUUAUACUAACAAAGGAGGAGGUUCCAACUACCUCUGUUUACCCAGUGAUCCUGAAAAUGGUAAACCAUACUCCUAUGCUAAUGAUGGUUUAUAUGGUGCAGAGUACCAGAUACAAUCCAGCACAAAACCAUCCGGUUUACCUGCUAGUUUGAGCGAAAAGGAGGUUCCAUGUGCAGUAUGCAGGAGGAAAGGGAAAGUUUCUGUGUUAAUGAUACCAGGUAGUUCCAUUAUUAAUAUUUGUUAACACCAUUAUUUAGAAAAGAAUAAUAAAUAUUUUAUAAAAUAAUUGGUACAUUAUUUAGCUAUAUCGUCAUAUCAUUUUGUUGAUUGUAAGGUUCAACAUGAAAUAAUCUUGAAUGCUACGGCUUAACAUAAUGUUCUUUAAAUCACAAUCAUUAUUUCCAAGUAUAAAGUAUUAGUUCGUUUGAUAUAGAAAUUGCAUAUUUUUACAUUUUAUUUUUAUUUAGGAAAAAAGUCCUGUUACAAUGGAUGGCAAUCCGAGUACAAUGGCUUCUUGAUGAGUGAAAAUAAAGGAUAUAACAUUAAAGAAUAUAUAUGUUUGGACGGAGAGGCCGAACCAUUGGAUAAUCGGUCCUCAAACGAAGAUGGUGCUUUGUUAUAUCCCGUCAGAGCGAAAUGUGGUAGUCUAAGAUGUCCCCCAUACACAGAUAACACUGAAGUUCUUUGUACCGUUUGUACUCAAAUAAAUGUGAAAUAAUGUUAAUUUUAACUCACUUGAUAUGUAAAAGUUUCAAAUAAAAGGUAUUCAACAGUCCUUAAAUUCAACGACGCUUGUCAUAAAACGCUUCUGUAUAUAUAUAUAAGUUUAUGUUUGUCGGUUUGCUGAUUUUGAGGAUAACAAGUAGUGAUUCUUUUGUUAUUCGUUUGUUUAUGACAUGUUGUCGGACAGGUGUAUCAAGUUGUUUUUAUCAUAUUGUAGCUUUUUCCCUUGUGUGAUAUGUAAUGCUGUAAAAAUAACUAUACCUAAUACACAAUAAUGAAUUUAAUAUUACUAUUCGUUUUGCUUUAUUUUUUCCUUUUAUUGCUAUCCAUACUAAUGACUUAAUCAUGAACAUAACACUUCAUACAUUGUGUGUAUCCGAAGCGCGUAAUUAUUUAAGCUUCAUAAAGAUCACUUGAAGGAGAAAUCAAACAUGUUAUUUUUACGGAAUUACAUUCAACCACCAGUGGUAUCAAUCGAGAACUGGUAAUCCAACUUCUGCACAAUUUGUACAUCUGAACAGUGAACAAAUAUAUGGUGUUCUUCUUUGUUUGCAAUCCUUAGAGAAAUUAAGAGAUCAAUGUGAUUCCCUAUCACCAUUCGGUACAAUGUAAAAAGCGCUUUGUCGUUCGUUUAUACCUUUUGUCCGAGUAUCCGAAACAGAAGAUUUUCAUAACUUGAACAGCCCUUGCUUGAUUUAAAUGAAAUUUAAACAAAAGGAAGAUUCAGGAAUGAAGAAGAAGCUUAUUGCAUUUGGAGUCAAUAGGUCAAGAAUUUUACAAAAAUAGAAGUGUGUUUUGAAAAACUACUAAUGGUAAUUUAGUUUCUCUUGCCUGGUUGGAUUAAAGGUAAAUCAGACGGGAAUUUUUCUAGCAGUUCGGUAUUUUUGUUAUUUUACUUUUAAAAUUCAAAUCAGUUUGAAAAAACGGUAAGAUGGGUGGAAAUACUAUAACAUUGAUGGUUAAUCUAUUAAAGUUGAAGUAUACUAUUACAUUGUUUAUGUAUAUACUAUAAAACAAACGUAUUAUGAAGAAUUGUUGAAAUUCAGGGUAAAUACAAAUGGUGAAUCUGUAUAAGUUUGUUUAUUUAAAUAUUUGUUAACAUAUUUCUGCCUAUUGAAUUCGGAAAUUAAUAAACAAUUCUAUGAAAUAAUUAACCUUAAAAAGAAAUAUGUGUAUGUUUUGAAAAACAUCAACAUUAAAAAUGUACCGGUUUUGUAUAAUAAUUAACAGUACAUUACAAGUUUUCAGUCUUGUUGAACAGCACUGAUAUGUAUGAGGGUAGAAAUGUACGAAACACACGUGGUACAAUUUAUGGUAGUGUAUUGUAGUCCGUUGUUUAUUUAUGUUUAUCAUCGUUUCGUUUGUUUCAUGUUCCUAUUCUAACAUCAAACUUUUUAAACUGACUUUUACUGUUUGUUUGUUUAUUUCACAUUGGCCAGAGGAUUAUGGGAUGGUUUGAUCACACAAAACAUUCCCCCUCUUUAUUGCUCCAGUCCCAAGCAACCUUAGCCGUUGAAAUAGUUUUUUUUUUCUUUAAUAUUACUAAUAUUCGUUUUAAUUUGUAUUUUUCGGAGUUAAUUGUGGCAUCUGUUUUACCGAAUUGUUGUUUAGAGGUUAGUGGACGAAUGCCUCCUGGUAUGGUAUUUGCAUGCUACGUUAAAGCCUAAUCGGAGCUCUAUUCUAGGAUCUACAAAAAAUCAAACUUACUGACACCAUUUGAUAACGUCGUGGGGAUGCAUUGCCCUAGUAAUGUGCUAUUUGUUAUUUCUUUAGUUUUAGGCAAAUUUGAUUAUCGAUAAAUAGAAGCAAACAUUAUCAGUCUCUUGUAGACAGUUGUCUCAUUGGCAAUCAUACCGCAUCUGGAAAUGGGAAAUGUGUCAAAGAGACAACAACCCGACCAUAUAACAGACAACAGCAGAAGGACUUAAAAGGUCUUCAAAGCAGCGAGAAAUUCCCACACCCGGAGGCGUCCUUCAGUUGGCCCCUUAUUAAAUAUAUAUACUAGCUCAGUUCAUACUAAACUCAAAAUUAUACACUAGAAACUAAAGUUACAAAUAAUACAAGACUAAAAAAGGCCAGAGACUCCUGACUUGGGACAGGCGCAAAAUUUGCGGCGGGGUUAAACAUGUUUAUGAGAUCUCAACCUCUCCUUAUACCUACAGACAAUGUAGAAAAGUAAAUGCAUAACAAUACGCACAUUAAAUUUCAGUUCAAGAGAAGUCCGAGUCUGACGUCAGAAGAUGUAACAAAAGAAACUAAACAAACUUACAAUAAUACAUAAAUAACAACAGACUACUAGCAGUUAACUAACAUGCCAGCUCCAGACUUCAAUUACACUAAUUGAAAGAUUAUGUCUUCAUCAUAUGAAUAUCAGGCACAACCCAUCCAGUAAGGGGUUUAGUAUCAUACCAUCAUAACAUAUAUGAGAAGAACACAACCCGUGUCAUGCAAACAACUGGUUUUUGAAUAAAUGUAUCCCUUCUUAAUAAGUAUAUUUAUAUUUAAAGGUUUUGUUAGCUUCUGAGGUGAAAACUGACAUUUUUUGUGCUUUAUAAAGAAUAUUAUCAUAAAAGAUUGGAUGUGAGAUACCUGAACGUAUAAGAAGUCUGCAUGUAGAGUUAUAUUUAUGAAUGAUGUCCUUGUACUGACGAUAAAAUUAAAUAAAUGUUUUGACUAGUUUGUUAUAUCGAAAACCCUGGUGUAAUAAUUUUUCAGUCAUACAUAAAUUUCUUCGUUGAAAUCUAAAGCCUUUUUUAAGUGAUUUUUAUAGUUGUUCUUAUGUUGUACUGUUAUUUCACUGUUUAUGAGGGGGGUGGAACAUGUGGAGCAGGAUCUGCUUACCCUUCUGGAGCACCUGACAUGACCCCCAGUUUUUGAUGGGGUUCGCGUUGCUUAGUUUCUAAUCCUAUAUGUUUUGUCUUCUAUACUUUUCUGUUUUUUUUUUAAUUUAUAACCAUGGCGUUGUCAGUUUAUUUUCAAUCUAUGAGUAUGACUGUCCCCCUGGUAUCUGUCAUCCCUCUUUUUCAUUCGAAAUGUCAAACUAUAUUGUUACGCUAUCGUAUUUCCUCUACACGCUAUUUCCAAAUUAAAAAAAAAGAUCCAUUCAUGAUAUAAGAUAUAAAGAAGAUACUGCAUUAACUGACAGAAGAAUUCCUUGAAGUCAUAGAGGUAAACAUUAAUAUGUUCUUAUGUUAUUUGUUCAUAGUGUUGUUAUUUUGGUUUGUUAUAUUUUGAACUAUUAUAUGAUAACUAGUACUCCAUUUCAGAAUGUCUCCAUUCAGCUUUGACACCGUCAUCGUUGUCUUUGUAGUCAGUUCUUAUGGACACGAUUGUACAAAAUACAGCCUGACACCAUCAGACAUAUCUCUUAUUGAUAUGAUGAAGCAUUACUUGCAUACCUCACGAAAAGCGGACUGUCAAAUAACACCUUCACAACAAGGUAAGUCUCUGUAGUCAGAGCUUAUGGCCAUGAUUGUACAAAAUACAACUUGACCCAAUCAGACCAGUCUCUUAUUGAUAUGAUGAAGCAUUACUUGCAUACCUCACGGAAAGCGGACUGACAAAUAACACCUUCACAACAAGGUAAGUCUCUGUAGUCAGAGCUUAUUGCCAUGAUUGUACAAAAUACAACCUGACCCAAUCCGACCAGUCUCUUAUUGAUAGGAUGAAGCAUUACUUGCAUACCUCACGGAAAGCGGACUGUCAAAUAACACCUUCACAACAAGGUAAGUCUCUGUAGUCAGAGCUUAUGGCCAUGGUUGUACAAAAUACAACCUGACCCCAUCAGACCAAUCUCUUAUUGAUAUGAUGAAGCAUUACUUGCAUACCUCACGGAAAGCGGACUGUCAAAUAACACCCUCACAACAAGUUAACCUCACGGAAAGCGGACUGUCAAAUAAAACCUUCACAACAAGGUAAGUCUCUGUAGUCAGAGCUUAUGGCCAUGGUUGUACAAAAUACAACCUGACCCCAUCAGACCAAUCUCUUAUUGAUAUGAUGAAGCAUUACUUGCAUACCUCACGGAAAGCGGACUGUCAAAUAACACCCUCACAACAAGUUAAGUCUCUGUAGUCAGAGCUUAUGGACAUGAUUGUACAAAAUACAGCCUGACCCCAUUAGACCAGUCUCUUAUUGAUAUGAUGAAGCAUUACUUGCAUACUUCCCGGAACGCUGACUGUUCCGUAACACCUUCACAACAAGGUAAGUCUUUGUAGUCAGUGCUUACGGUUUAAAUCUGGUAAAUGUGAAUCAAAAAGAUACAAAUCAAAUUAACUAACAAACAAAAUGUAACAAAAAUAACCGAACAAAAAUAUGAAAAUUUUAAAAGGAUAAGUCCAAACAAAUUGACAAAAUUAAACUCUUUCAAACAACACAAGUGAAAAUCAACUGCUUUAUAUAAACUGAUAAAGAUUCGCAGAACUCCAAAUAAAAAAAAAAAAACAUGUGUGUUAACAAGGUAAGGCUCUCUGGUUAUGUAUGCACUACCCAUAAUGCAAUUUAUACUCUGUCAAACUUGAUAUAGUUACGACGCGGUCAGAGGAACAGAUCGCAAAAAAAUAUAUAUUAUAAAUAUUUCUUGUCUUAUGACACUGUUGUGUGAGAUUUUAGUGAUUAUAUGACGAAUUCUGUUUUCUUUAAAUUUCUAUAAAUAUUUAUGGAAAAAACUUGUAUUUUAUCUAUGAAAAUGAGUAAUUAGAAAAAUAUGAAAUAUGAUUUACUUGUGUUCUAUCAAUAAUGAAAGUGAAUUAGUGAAAUUGCUUUUAGCAGCCAAUGUGGUUCAAUUUUGUCAAUAUAAGUUGAGAAACAUUGAUGAUGACUUGUUCACUUGCAAGUGAAUAAUUCGAACCCAUUGAAUUCGUAUUCAUGUCAACUUCAAUGUAACCCAUAGAUAGAGGUUUAUACUGCAUGAAUUGUGCGUGUUCAACAUUGAAAGUGAAACAAAGGUAAAUCAUUUGAUUGACUGAUUCGAUCGACAAAAAAAAAAUCAUUUUCAUACAGGUAAAACAAUGAUUUACAUAUAUUCUAAAUCUAUAGUAUGAAGUUAAACAGAAAUACGAAUCCAAAUGCACACGUCUGAUAUUUAUUUAUAUCGCUUAUAUGGCAAUUGGAGGUAUUCUGGGGUCAACUCGACAGUUAUUAGAUGGCGUCUAGACUUAAAAAAACACAGGAAACGAAGCUACAUAUUAUCGCGCCCAUGUCCUGUUUAGUGUUUAGAUUUUAUAUAAUUUGGAUAAGUGUUUUACAUUGUUAUGAAUCAAAUGUGAGAAUUUGAGUCAAUUCGGGGAACAUGAAUUUGACAGCUAGUGACCCUUUAAGUGAUCAUAACCACCCUAAAAAGUUCGUUACAAAUUGUGUUUGCAUUUAAUCAUAAUUGUAAACGGUAGCCAAAGACAUCAAAGUUAAUGUUAUGGAUACGACGGACUAAUCUUUUCUUGUAAAUCAUCUUCAUUACGUUUUUUUUGUACUGUAAAUUUACUAUUUGCUGUGUCUAUUUAAGAUGUUGGUGUGACAUAUGUCAGAUGGGGGAAAGAAAACUUGUCCACAAAAUUCGGAAAUUGUGUAUACAGGUAUUGUUUUUCAUUAUAAUCAUUUGAACUAAAUCAGAAAAUGGCAAGUUCCUAUAGAUGGAUGAUAGCGCUAAACAUAAAAAGACAGUUUCACUCGCUAACUAUUUAUAAUUAUAAAUGUUAUGAAUAUAUAAUGCCAUAUGCACAUUUAAUAUUUGUUAAAAAUCAUUGUUAUGUUGUAUCUUAUUAUGUUGCAUUACAAUUACAACAAAUUCAUAACACAAAUAAUCUACUUCCUUUAGAAUAGGCCUGGUACUAGUAGCUACUUUGAAAAUAAUCUUUUUGUAGUUUCAUUGGAAAUUGAGGAUAUGACAUUGCUAAGGUUAUGAUAAGGUUGAAGUUAUCGAUACAGAUGCCUAAACAUAACACGUUUGUUAAUGUUUGAAUAACAAUCUACAACACAUUUUCAAAGACAAACUUGCUGUCUCAACCACUGAUAUUUUAAUUCCUAAAAUUCGUUUGCGAUAUCUUUUCCAUCGUUGCAUACAACUAAAUAAUCUGACUAAUAACGUUUUUAAUAAGAUAAUUACCUUAAUAUUAUUCAGGUCAAGCUGGAGGUAACCAACACAAUAACAAAGGAGGAGGUUCUAACUACCUCUGUUUACCUAGUGAUCCUGAAAAUGGCGAAGCAUACUCAUAUGCUAAUGAAGGACUAUAUGGUGCCGAGUAUGAGAUACAUUCAAACACUAAACCAUCCGGUUUACCUGCUUCUUUGGGACACAAAGAGGUCCAGUGUGCUGUAUGCAGGCGAAAAGGGAAGGUUUCAGUUUUAAUGAUACCAGGUAAUUUAAUUUUAAAUAUUUGCUUGUACCAUUAUUUGAAAAGUUUAAUAAAUAUGUUUUAAAAUAAUUGAUCCAAUAUAAACCUACAUUGUGACAUCAUAUUGUUGAGUAUAAAGUUCAAUAUGAAUAAUCUUGAAUGGAACUGCUUUAAUUUAUGCUUUGUUCUGUAUUAUCGCAAUCAUUAUUUCAAAGUAUAAAGUAUAAUUUAAAUAUGUUUUUAUAUAGAAAUUGCAUAUUUUAAAUUUAAAUUAUUUUUUUUUUUAAUUUAGGAAGGAAAUCCUGUUACAAAGGAUGGAAAUCAGAGUACAGUGGUUUUUUGAUGAGUGAACACAUUAACUCAUAACAAUAAAGACUAUAUCUGUAUGGACGGAGACGCAGAACCACUAGACAAUCGAGCAUCCAAUGAAAAUGGUGCUUUGUUUUAUCCUAUCAGAGCUAAAUGUGGUAGUUUGAGAUGUCCCCCAUACAAAGAUAACACUGAAGUGCUUUGUACCGUUUGUACAAAAUAAAAAUAAUAUAACGGUCUC
rnacentral:lncRNA from 1 species